rnacentral:rRNA from 1 species
AUUGAACGCUGGCGGCAUGCCUUACACAUGCAAGUCGAACGGUAACAGGUCUUCGGAUGCUGACGAGUGGCGAACGGGUGAGUAAUACAUCGGAACGUGCCUAGUAGUGGGGGAUAACUACUCGAAAGAGUGGCUAAUACCGCAUGAGAUCUACGGAUGAAAGCAGGGGAUCGCAAGACCUUGUGCUUCUAGAGCGGCCGAUGGCAGAUAAGGUAGUUGGUGGGAUAAAAGCUUACCAAGCCGACGAUCUGUAGCUGGUCAGAGAGGACGAUCAGCCACACUGGGACGGAGACACGGCACAGACUCCUACGGGAGGCAGCAGUGGGGAAUUUUGGACGAUGGGCGAAAGCCUGAUCCAGCAAUGCCGCGUGCAGGAUGAAGGCCUUCGGGUUGUAAACUGCUUUUGUACGGAACGAAAAGCCCUGGGUUAAUACCCUGGGGUCAUGACGGUACCGUAAGAAUAAGCACCGGCUAACUACGUGCCAGCCGCCGCAGUAA